UACAGAGGGUGCGAGCGUUGUUCGGAAUUAUUGGGCGUAAAGGGCGCGUAGGCGGUGCGGUAAGUCACCUGUGAAAUCUCCUGGCUCAACUGGGAGCUUGCAGGCGAAACUGCCGUGCUGGAGUGUGGGAGAGGUGCGUGGAAUUCCUGGUGUAGCGGUGAAAUGCGUAGAUAUCAGGAGGAAUACCGGUGGUGCAGACGGCUCUCUGGACCGCGACUGACGCUGAGACACGAAAGCGUGGGUAGCAAACAGG
rnacentral:rRNA from 1 species